AUUGAACGCUGGCGGCAGGCCUAACACAUGCAAGUCGAACGAGUGGCGGACGGGUGAGUAAUGUCUGGGAAACUGCCCGAUGGAGGGGGAUAACGACGGGAAACGGUAGCUAAUACCGCAUACCAUCAGAUGUGCCCAGAUGGGAUUAGCUAGUUGGUGGGGUAACGGCUCACCAGGGCGACGAUCCCUAGCUGGUCUGAGAGGAUGACCAGCCACACUGGAACGUAGACACGGUCCAGACUCCUACGGGAGGCAGCAGUGGGGAAUAUUGCACAAUGGGCGCAAGCCUGAUGCAGCCAUUCCGCGUUUAUUAAGAAGGCCUUCGGGUUGUAAAGUACUUUCAGCGGGGAUGCGUUACCCGCAGAAGAAUCACCGGCUAACUCCGUGCCAGCCGCCGCGGUAAUUC
rnacentral:rRNA from 1 species